CGCCGCCGCCGCCGCCACCAACGCCCGCAGAGCGCCGACCCCGAGCUCCUCCUCCCCGGCCUCCCUCGCGCGUCGUCCGGCGACCGGCGCCGCUGCCGGCGACCACCCAGGUCAUGCCGCCGCUCCCCUGCCUUCUCUCUCUCUCUCUCUCUCUCUCUCUCUCUCUCUCUCUCUAAUCUCCUGUCUCUCCUUCUCUCCAGGAGCUCAGCACCAGCGCCACGGAUGCCCAGUCCUCGAGCUCACCUUGGAGGUUCGAAUGCCGCCACGGGACCUCCACCGGCCAGAUCCGGCGCCUCCCUCCCGUAUCCGCGCGCCCUCCACCUCCUCUACCCGAUCCGGCGGCGCCAAACCCGCCAUGACCUCCACCAUGGCGCCCGUCGUGAUCCUGUGCAUCCUCUCCGUCGUCGCACGAGGACUUGGACGCCUGGCUCGCUGACAAACUCCCCCAAAUCCUACAGGAGGUUCAGCCAGAGUGUUCAUGGGAGCCUUUGGCGGGCUGAUUGGCCUCCCCAGCCCAUGUCCAUGAGUUGACUCCAUCAGCCUCUGCCCCGAUCACCGGCCUCGACCAGGAGCAUCUUCUACGUUGCAAGCAAAGAUGAUGAAACACCUGGACCAUCUUGCACGCGCUUGCAGUCUUUGCGACGCGGUGGCAUAGAAAUCAAGGUCCUAUGCAUACUAAAUGUGCAGCUUGGCAUGGCUCUUGGCACACACACAGUCCAUCAGAUGAACAGAGCACUCUUGGAGUACUCCUGUAUUUCCUACAACAAUAUUACUUACAUUUAGUUUGGUGCCGUCGUGGAAAUUCAGAUAGGCGUUCCACAGCGUGUUCAGAAUAAUACUUUGCAAGGGACAGCAGCUCGACGUCGAGCAGCAGCAGCAGGUUCUGCAGCUUCGACGACCCCGAUGAGUCCGCGGUCGUGCUCAACUCCUGCCAGGAGGGUGUGGAGGAGUUUCCCCUUGAACUCCAUGACCUGAGUCUAAGGUCAUUGUUCUACUGGCACUCACUUCACCUGAACAGCUGGACGAGAUGAUAGUGGAUAUACUCAGUGCAGUAUAUUGCUAUAAGGUUGCGUAUUAGCUUCAAGUGAUUUUACUCUUAUUGGUAUCUUGACAAAGCUUGAAGUAUAUGUUGGUGUCUUGAUAGAUACAAGCCUCCCUCUUCUGCCCUUCUUUUCUCCAUCCUCUUCAGGUCGCUAGCACAUGUGAAUGGUUCUCGUCAAGAGCAUGCUUGUGACAUCAUUACUAUAUGUGAUGUAGGGCAAAAUGAUGUUGUCAGAAAGUAAAAACACAUUUAAUCAUUUUCUAUUUUUUUCCUUGCCCGUUUCCGCCGUCAUAUACACUGCAUCUCCCACUGUAACGGACAGCCAAAUUUAUAUUCUUCAAAGUUUUAAUCAUCCCUAUUGCAGCUAAGUGUUCAAGUGCAUCUCUAGCCAAGUUCCCUUUGCUAUUGUGUUGUAUUUUGAGGAAAGGUGGCCGAGCAGCUCGUGGCAUCCGUGUCGCGCCUGCUCUGCUGCUGCCUUGACCCGCCGUCGACGUCACGUCGCCGGUUGAGCCGCAAGGGUGCAAGAUCAUUGUGGGGCCCAUUGCAUGGGCGUUGAGUAUGCUUGAUUGCCAUGUCGUAGGCGAAGGUGCUAGAGCUUGGUGGCGUGUUUGUGAUGUUUUUUUCUCCCGUUGCAACGCAUCGAUUGAUUUAUUCAUGCAUCUGUCGAUUUACUCUAAAUUUUUUUCAGUCGUCAAACAUUAACUGGAUUGGUUCGUGGAUAUGUAGUGUGACAAGUCGUGUGAGAUGAAGGUAGUGAACCAUCUCAAUGUGAAGCCAAGUAUGUGGUGGAUUUGCCAUGGAAGAUGGAAAACUGAUGAUUCAAAAAUUGCUUGCAGAUGGAUGUCAAGGAGGCCGAAGCCCGUUGUGCCAAAACUAACACAUUAGAAUCUUUCAAUUUGCUGCUACCAUAUUUCAAAGUAAGAACACGAUGAUGCAAAGGAAUCUUAUUGUGUAGCCAUAUGUAAUCUCAAUUUGUUGCUAUGUAUAAACUAUGAUAGGAGUAGGCCCAUAUAGAUGUGUAUCCAUUUUUGCCUUCUACUGAUCUAUGACAAAGGGGGUGUGCUGGACUAAGUGGCCGUUACUAUUGAAGCAAAGGAGUGGAACUCGCAAAUUUUCAAUGAAUGGAGGUCAUCUUUCAUAUGGAUUUUAUUAUUAAAUA